UACAGAGGGUGCUAGCGUUGUUCGGAAUCAUUGGGCGUAAAGGGCGCGCAGGCGGCUACGCACGUCCGUUGUGAAAUCGCUCGGCUCAACUGGGCGGGGUCGGCGGAUACGGCGUAGCUGGAGCAAGCUAGGGGGCAAUGGAAUUCCCGGUGUAGUGGUGGAAUGCGUAGAUAUCGGGAGGAACACCAGUGGCGAAGGCGGUUACCUGGAGCUUUGCUGACGCUGAUGCGCGAAAGCGUGGGGAGCGAGUCCGG
rnacentral:rRNA from 1 species